ensembl:lncRNA
AUGCAGCUGAGGAUCGCCCCGACCCGCCGCGAAAGCUGGAGUGAAACGAUAGUCCAAAAGGGGCUUAGCGUGAGACCCAAAGCCCCCAGGGGCGAGGACAACAGGAGAGACGAGUCCUCCGUCACAGGUGGUGUGGUCAGUGAAGAUGGUCGCCUGCAGGUUCAAGCUCAUUGCAUCUCCAGCCCACAUCCACUGCCACUGUACUUAAGGGAAGUUAAAGACUUUCUUCUGCACUUACAUUUGGAUCACCUCGAUCCAUGACAGUCAUUCAGGCAGUAAUGACGAAUCUCUUCGUCCGCAUGGUUACUUGUUGCUUUCUGUUCCACUUGCCCGAACUGAACUUGGUAAAAGAGCUUUUGUCAAUUUAGCACCCUCGGCUUGGAACAAACUGCAGAAGGACUGGAAAAUGACUGAAUUCAUUUCAUUAAGUGCUUUUAGAUCUAAACUACGAAUCCUUGAGGCCAAGUCCAUAAUAUGCAACUGUUUUAAUUAGAUUGAUUGUCAUUUUAACUGCCUUUUUUUUUUCUUUUUUUUUUUAAUUGAAUUUUAUUUUAUUUGUUUUCUUUCACUUAUUGUUGCAUGUGUGUUGUUGAUGCCUAUGUUUGAGUAAUCUCUGUAACUGUGAGACACCUGCUGCUGCCUAUCUUGGCCAGGUCUCCCUUGAAAAAGAGGUUUUUAAUCUCAAUGGGAUCUUCCUGGUUAAAUAAAGGUUAAUAAUAAUAAUAAAUGCCUGGACUGGAAACAAGCAUCCUUAAAAUAAUACAACAUUCCAGCUCAUGUGUUGGAAUGAAAAACAAAUGUGUGGUUUAAAUUAGAGACUGCACUUGUGACAGAACAAUAAAUAUUUUAUUUUGAUUAUAUAAGUAAGUACAAAACAAACUUGUGGUAGGCCUAAACUUAUUUUAAGAAUAAUUACAUCUGAGACUUUGUCUCAUUGUAAGAUUAUAAUUGUUUGUUGUUCAGCAGAACAGUGUUCAGUAUGUUGGCUGUUAUACUUUGUUGCAUUUGAAAAUAAAAGUUGGGCUCAUUUUAACAUCAUUACAAAAAGUGUUGUUAAUUAUUUUUAAUCAUAUUCAGGUUACCACAAAUUGUUUUUUCAUUUAGUUGAAUGUUUGUCAGUAGGUAAACAAUUAGUAUUGUACAUUCAGAAAUAUCAAGUUAUUCUUAAUACUGCAGACUUGCAAUGUAUAAGUUGUCCUAACAGUCAUCUUAAGUAAGCUUUACUUAGUUUUUUUUGAGGCAACAAGUUUCCAUAAUUUUUUUGAGUUCUGGGAACUAACAAGGCUGUACAGUGUACUCAAAAUGGGUAAGUUGCCCUAACUUGGUCAUCUUAAGUAAACUUGAUCCAAUUUUUUUGACUUCUGGGAACAAAUGAGCUUGUACAGAGUACUCAAAAUAAAUAAGUUGUCCUAAUUUAGUCAUUUUUAGCUAAGCUUUACUCAAUUUUUUUAAGGCAAUGAGUUUCCUCAGUUUUUUUGAGUUCUGGGAACUAAUUAGAUUUUACAGUGAUGGAAGUAUUAUUGUAACAAAAUGUUUUCUAAGUAGAUUUUUUACCAAUUGAACACAUUUGUUUCUGUGGUCUUAAAUACAUAAAAGCAUAUUGUUUAACUUGGCUGCGAUGGUACAAAUCUAAAUUUCCGGUUUAUUUUCACUUUUUAAAUAUGAAGUGUUGAAAGGCCUACAGUUAAAAAAUAAAAAAGUUAUUUGCUAAAAAAAAAUGCUGAAUGAAUUCAUUUUUUAAAAGCUAUUACAAU